GUUAAGCGACUAAGCGUACACGGUGGAUGCCCUGGCAGUCAGAGGCGAUGAAGGACGUGCUAAUCUGCGAUAAGCGUCGGUAAGGUGAUAUGAACCGUUAUAACCGGCGAUUUCCGAAUGGGGAAACCCAGUGUGUUUCGACACACUAUCAUUAACUGAAUCCAUAGGUUAAUGAGGCGAACCGGGGGAACUGAAACAUCUAAGUACCCCGAGGAAAAGAAAUCAACCGAGAUUCCCCCAGUAGCGGCGAGCGAACGGGGAGCAGCCCAGAGCCUGAAUCAGUGUGUGUGUUAGUGGAAGCGUCUGGAAAGGCGCGCGAUACAGGGUGACAGCCCCGUACACAAAAAUGCACAUGCUGUGAGCUCGAUGAGUAGGGCGGGACACGUGGUAUCCUGUCUGAAUAUGGGGGGACCAUCCUCCAAGGCUAAAUACUCCUGACUGACCGAUAGUGAACCAGUACCGUGAGGGAAAGGCGAAAAGAACCCCGGCGAGGGGAGUGAAAAAGAACCUGAAACCGUGUACGUACAAGCAGUGGGAGCACGCUUAGGCGUGUGACUGCGUACCUUUUGUAUAAUGGGUCAGCGACUUAUAUUCUGUAGCAAGGUUAACCGAAUAGGGGAGCCGAAGGGAAACCGAGUCUUAACUGGGCGUUAAGUUGCAGGGUAUAGACCCGAAACCCGGUGAUCUAGCCAUGGGCAGGUUGAAGGUUGGGUAACACUAACUGGAGGACCGAACCGACUAAUGUUGAAAAAUUAGCGGAUGACUUGUGGCUGGGGGUGAAAGGCCAAUCAAACCGGGAGAUAGCUGGUUCUCCCCGAAAGCUAUUUAGGUAGCGCCUCGUGAAUUCAUCUCCGGGGGUAGAGCACUGUUUCGGCAAGGGGGUCAUCCCGACUUACCAACCCGAUGCAAACUGCGAAUACCGGAGAAUGUUAUCACGGGAGACACACGGCGGGUGCUAACGUCCGUCGUGAAGAGGGAAACAACCCAGACCGCCAGCUAAGGUCCCAAAGUCAUGGUUAAGUGGGAAACGAUGUGGGAAGGCCCAGACAGCCAGGAUGUUGGCUUAGAAGCAGCCAUCAUUUAAAGAAAGCGUAAUAGCUCACUGGUCGAGUCGGCCUGCGCGGAAGAUGUAACGGGGCUAAACCAUGCACCGAAGCUGCGGCAGCGACGCUUAUGCGUUGUUGGGUAGGGGAGCGUUCUGUAAGCCUGCGAAGGUGUGCUGUGAGGCAUGCUGGAGGUAUCAGAAGUGCGAAUGCUGACAUAAGUAACGAUAAAGCGGGUGAAAAGCCCGCUCGCCGGAAGACCAAGGGUUCCUGUCCAACGUUAAUCGGGGCAGGGUGAGUCGACCCCUAAGGCGAGGCCGAAAGGCGUAGUCGAUGGGAAACAGGUUAAUAUUCCUGUACUUGGUGUUACUGCGAAGGGGGGACGGAGAAGGCUAUGUUGGCCGGGCGACGGUUGUCCCGGUUUAAGCGUGUAGGCUGGUUUUCCAGGCAAAUCCGGAAAAUCAAGGCUGAGGCGUGAUGACGAGGCACUACGGUGCUGAAGCAACAAAUGCCCUGCUUCCAGGAAAAGCCUCUAAGCAUCAGGUAACAUCAAAUCGUACCCCAAACCGACACAGGUGGUCAGGUAGAGAAUACCAAGGCGCUUGAGAGAACUCGGGUGAAGGAACUAGGCAAAAUGGUGCCGUAACUUCGGGAGAAGGCACGCUGAUAUGUAGGUGAAGUCCCUCGCGGAUGGAGCUGAAAUCAGUCGAAGAUACCAGCUGGCUGCAACUGUUUAUUAAAAACACAGCACUGUGCAAACACGAAAGUGGACGUAUACGGUGUGACGCCUGCCCGGUGCCGGAAGGUUAAUUGAUGGGGUUAGCCGCAAGGCGAAGCUCUUGAUCGAAGCCCCGGUAAACGGCGGCCGUAACUAUAACGGUCCUAAGGUAGCGAAAUUCCUUGUCGGGUAAGUUCCGACCUGCACGAAUGGCGUAAUGAUGGCCAGGCUGUCUCCACCCGAGACUCAGUGAAAUUGAACUCGCUGUGAAGAUGCAGUGUACCCGCGGCAAGACGGAAAGACCCCGUGAACCUUUACUAUAGCUUGACACUGAACAUUGAGCCUUGAUGUGUAGGAUAGGUGGGAGGCUUAGAAGUGUGGACGCCAGUCUGCAUGGAGCCGACCUUGAAAUACCACCCUU
rnacentral:rRNA from 1 species